GAUGAACGCUGGCGGCGUGCCUAAUACAUGCAAGUCGAGCGAACAGACGAGGAGCUUGCUCCUUCGACGUUAGCGGCGGACGGGUGAGUAACACGUAGGUAACCUACCUAUAAGACUGGGAUAACUUCGGGAAACCGGAGCUAAUACCGGAUAAUAUUUCGAACCGCAUGGUUCGAUAGUGAAAGAUGGCUUUGCUAUCACUUAUAGAUGGAUCCGCGCCGCAUUAGCUAGUUGGUAAGGUAACGGCUUACCAAGGCAACGAUACGUAGCCGACCUGAGAGGGUGAUCGGCCACACUGGAACUGAGACACGGUCCAGACUCCUACGGGAGGCAGCAGUAGGGAAUCUUCCGCAAUGGGCGAAAGCCUGACGGAGCAACGCCGCGUGAGUGAUGAAGGUCUUCGGAUCGUAAAACUCUGUUAUUAGGGAAGAACAAACGUGUAAGUAACUGUGCACGUCUUGACGGUACCUAAUCAGAAAGCCACGGCUAACUACGUG
rnacentral:rRNA from 1 species